GGAUUAGAUACCCUGGUAGUCCACGCCGUAAACGAUGAGUGCUAGACGUUGGAAAUUAAUUUUUCAGUGUCGUAGUUAACGCAUUAAGCACUCCGCCUGGGGAGUACGGUCGCAAGAUUAAAACUCAAAGGAAUUGACGGGGGCCCGCACAAGCGGUGGAGCAUGUGGUUUAAUUCGACGCAACGUGAAGAACCUUACCAGCUCUUGACAUUGCUAAGUCGCGAGUUUUAGAGAUAAAACUCUUCAGUUCGGCUGGACUUAGUACAGGUGCUGCAUGGCUGUCGUCAGCUCGUGCCG
rnacentral:rRNA from 1 species